CUUGGUUUGAGUGAGGAUGUGGGACUUGCUCAUCGACUUGCUCUUGUGAAUGCUUGUCGUGUAGCGGGUUGCGAGAUGCAUGACGGUCUUGACGCGCGGCUCGUCGAAGAGUGUUCGAUGACGGUGUACUUGAGCCAGAGAAGGAGUCGUCGGAGUGGCGACUUGAGUGGCUCCAUCUUGAGUAUGAAGAAGUUGAAGGAGUACGGUUCACCAACAAGGCGUGGAUCUCGUCCAUCCUUGCAUCGUUCUCUUGCUUGUGCGCGUCGAGCUUGUUGUCGAAGUAGUCCUUGGUACGUUGCUCGAAGAGUCGCAAGUCGGUGGCGAGGUUGUCGAUGCGUUCUUUCAUGGCUUGUUGCUCUUGAUGCAACGCUCGUUGUGCACCAAAGAGGUGGCUCUUGGUGACGUAUGAUGACAUGUCAUCGUCUUGCUCGAUGAAGAGUGGGUUGGUAGAAGUACUCGGCCUAUCCAUCAUUCCAAGCAAAAAUGUGAGUGGUAGAAGGAGAAGAACUUAUACCAAUGUACCUUGACCGAUGUUGAUGAUGAACCAAGUUCACUCAAAUGCGGACAAUGAAAUAGCACUAUUAGUACCAACUCUUGUCGGUUCUCACACCUACACAAGUAAAAGCUUAUGGUGGAGCUUGGUUAGGAUGGUGGCACAAAAUUUGAUGCAAUUGAAAGUGAGCUUCAAUAAUGUUGGAAAAGAUUCACAAAUUUGCAAAUGCAACAAGUAGACCAAGCAAGGAGAGGUACACGGAAACACACACGCAAAUAGAUAAAUGUGAUUGUGCAAACCAAAAGUGAGCCAAAAUGUGGAAUCCACGAAAAUGCUCUUGUUGCACAAUACUAGAGAGACGCUAGCACGAUUGCACGAUAGGCGGAUACGGAACUUGUGCACAACCUACUCGGCAAAAAUGCAACGACCUCUAUCCCAAGUAUGCUAUAUGUAUGGUAUUUCGGUGCUAUGAUCCAAGAUGAUCGAGUAUGACAAUCUUAAUGUAGUAUGACGCUACGGUUCUUGCUUAUAAGCUCUUUGCUUAUCUUUCCUCUUUGCUUAAAAGCUUGGGUGGCUCUUUCACUUUUGAGCUCUUUUCUUAUGUAAAACUUCACGAACCAAGAUAGCAAUUGUGUAUGCUAUGACAACUUUGUGACACAAAAGUUGAUGCCAAGAUAUGCACCACGUUGGUAUGGUAUGUAUGCUAUGGAGUAUGAUCACUAAUGUGCACAAGUCACGUUGCCGACAAUACUCAAUGGCUAGUCUCGAUGGGUAAGCUACGCAAAAGUAAGGCCAUGUGGGUAUCAAUGCAAUUGCAAGGAAUGACAAAGAUGUCAUCGAAGUUACCGUCCUUGGCGAUGAUGAGUAGUCGAUGGAGAUGAGUGGUGGUGAUGGUGACGUCGAACCGUACCUAUAUAGCCGAAACACAAUAGGACACGGGAACCACAACCCAAAAUCUCAAAGACCCAAAACAUGUCAAAAUCGACAUAGGAGGUAGCGGUGAGCGGUGGUUGUGUUUGUGGAAAGCGUUGGGGGGUAUGCGGAAGUAAGCGUGGGCACCGGGGCAAAAUGGAGCGAAACUAUGCAGAAAUGGGCGCGGGGGAUGGAGUUGCUGCUGCCAGGGCCGGAUGUCCGGGCCAGCUGCCGGAUGUCCGGUGGACACGGGCGGAUGUCCAGGCUCUGGAUCGGGGACGAACACGAUGAACUCCACGGGAAAAAUUGCAACUCCGGGGCAAAAUUCGGACGAAUUGGUGGAUGGAAAUUGCGGGAGAGAUGGGGAAAAGCUAGAUCAACUCGAUGCAAAGCAAAUCCGUGGAUCAAAUCCAACAAAACUUCAUCACACCAACAAAUCACAAAAAAAAUUGGGGCUAUUUUUGAUGGGGAAUUUUUGGAUUUAGGACGAAAACAACAAAAUCAAGCUAGAAAACACGGGGUAGGGGCUCCAAAAGCGUGAUCAACGUGACUCAUGAUACCAAGAUGAUGUAGGGCGGAACCCUUGGGGGCCGAUCUUUCAUGUUUGGAGUGGAUCCUACGGGGAAACAUGAAGAACGCGCGGAAGAACACAAGGGAAAUCACGGGGAGAAAUGAGAGAAACACUCAACCGACAAGUAAUUGAUCACACAAGGGCUAGAUCACCGAACACAUAAGGUAGCACAAGAUCCAAAAUCAACAAAGGGAAGAUACAAGAGUAACCGUUCUUCUUCGUGAGGAGACCUUGAUUGUCUUCUCCGGAUGGAGGCCUUGAAUCCGAAUGGAUCUUCUCCGAAGAGGCAUGGUCCCUCACGUGGAGUAGAUCCGGUACGGAUGAGCAAAGCUCUAUCUCUAAAUGAGCUAUCAUAAUGCUAACCCUAAAAACGUAGGUGGGGAUGGAGUAUAUAUAGUCUAGGGGCAAAGAAGGAUACAUGGGCCUCGGCCCUACACUGUGCGCAGAUAGGGAAGGCCGGAUGUCCGGGCGUAGGGCCGGAUGUCCGAUGUCUCAUGAGGGGCUGGAGUCCUGGCUGAAGGGCCGGAUGUCCGGGCUGAUGCAGACGGUCGUUCUGUUCUCUGGAUGGGCGACGCCAGAUGUCCGCUCGGAGGGGCCGGAUGUCCGUUGCUUCGGGAGGCGCCGGAUGUACGGGGUGCUGGCCGGAUGUCCGGGCUGACGGGGCAACCUUCUGUGCUCCCUGGACGCUGGUGCCAGAUGUCCGGGAUUUUGGCCGGAUUUCCGGUGAGGUGGGCCAGAUGUCCGGGCUGGACGCCGGAUGUCCGGUCCCUGUAGCUUCUUCUGUAGAGGCCUGGCCAUGUAGAUCUCCAGGGGCCGGAUGUCCGGGGUCCUGGCCGGAUGUCCGGUGCCUGGAGGUUGUUCUAGCCUUCUUCCAUUGGUUCUCUUCUUCCAUGGACUUGGGGUCUUGACCAUCUUCAUGUGCAUCCUCGGGAGGGUCCUCUUGGUACCUAAUCAUGCACAACAUUCUGGAUUGAGGUAGUAGCAAUGUCUCGAGAGGAUCAUGUGAUAUAUCACUAAGGAGAGAAGUCACCUUGGUCUCAAGAGCUCUAGCUCGUGCUCUAGUCAUGGGUCCUCUUGGUGCUUGAUGAGACGAUGGAAGGUCCAUGGAGAUGACCGAAGGAUGCUCCGCAUCACUUCCCCUUCUCAUGGGAGAAAGGAAAGGGGGGGCGCCACCCUUCCUGCCUUUCCCCGCUCACCUAAAAUGGCAAGGGGGCGCGGCUAGGGGCAGGACCCCAAGUGGGAUUCCGCCCCACUUGGGGCACCUCCUAGCUGCCUCCUCCCUCCCCCACACCUAUAUAUAUGUGGGAGGGGCGCCACACAAAGCCACGACAAUCUCUUAGCCGUGUGCGGCGCACCCCUCCAUAGUUUCGUCCCCCAGUCAUAUUUUCGUAGUACUUAGGCGAAGCCCUGCAGAGAUAGCAUCACCACCACCGUCACCAUGCCGUCGUGCUACCGGAACUCAUCCACUACUUCGCCGUCUUGCUGGAUCAAGAAGGCGAGGACGUCACCAAGCUAAACAUGUGCUGAACGUGGAGGUGUCGUACGUUCGGUACUCGAUCGGUUGGAUCGCAAAGAAGUUCGACUACAUCAACUGCGUUAACAAACGCUUCCGCUUACGGUCUACGAGGGUACGUAGACACACUCUCCCCUCUCGUUGCUAUGCGUCUCCAUGGAUAGAUCUUGCGUGUGCGUAGAAAUGUUUUGGUUUUCCAUGCAACGUUUCCCAACAACAUUCUCUUGCGUAUCGAGUCUUCCUCUAAAAUCCAGCCAAAGGAGCACAUUGUACUUCUUGUGGAUCAUAGAGCUCUAAAUGUAUUUUAGCAAGGGACCAAAGGACGCCAUGUGUGGAUAUCAUGAAGAAACAGUGAGUAGAAGAGUAUUAAUUCUUGUUCCAAAUGAAUGGGAAUGAAAUUUGCAGCAAUAUGCCAAUCAAUGAACUACACAUAAAAUCGGAAUUGCUAGUUUGGUCAGACUGAAUUACAAUAUGCCAAUCAUUUUAGUACUACUUCAUUUUAGUACUACCUGGGUUCCAUACCUUCAUUAAAAUAGCACAAACGUCUUAUAUUUAGAGAGGUAGUACUAAAAUGAAGGUUGUUUUCCAUACUCUGGCUAUUUCCUAGAGAAGGAGGUAAGACUUUGCACAUACGACAAAAUUAGCAUUGCUGCUGUAAAUCGGUUCCACCUUGAGAACUUUUUCCUUUUUUGCGGGGGAAUACAUGUGAUGAAUUAAUCAAGAAAAUGGACAAAAAUUAAAGGUUAUUUAAAUAUCGUGGAGCACAGAGUUGCUUUCAUAUUCCAGUUUUUUCCCUAUAGAGUAUGUGUAAGAAUAAACUCUUAUUCUUUGAAGGUGUUUUUUCAUAUACAGGACCAACCAGAAUAAAAGAUGCAUUUUCUAUUCGGCAAGUAUAAUUCUCUGUAAUAAGAAGUAAAACUGGACUGAACUGAAUUAAAAUGAACGUCCAUAAAAUGCACAAGAGUAAAGUAUAAUGGUUGUUCAUCGCGACCAUCACCAAAUGAGAAUUGUUUGAGCAUGCUGUUAAAAUUUUAUCCUUUUACCCAAAUGAUAAGUUCCACAAGUGUGGCACGAAGUAACACACCCUUUUACCCAAAUGAUAAGUUCCAUAAGUGUGACACGAAGUAACACCGCCCUGACUUUUUUACAACUAAGAUUGUCAUUCGAAGAAAAAAACUGAAAGUUGUCCAAACAGAAAAAUGCCAUGCUUCACAACUAUAGUUGUCAUUCUUGGGUAACUAAACUUGCCGUCAAAAAAUAUCACAGCGGAAUUGCUUCGUGCCACACAUGUGGCACUUAUCAUGGUCCAAAAUUUAACGUUUUCCCAUUAGAAAAGAGCGGAGUUUCCCUGCAAACAAAAAAGUGCGGAGUUUGGCAUUUGAAAAAAAGCAUUUCUCGCACAGAGGAGCAUGUGCUCUUGAGAGCUAAAACUGGAUUUUCAAAAAAAUUAGCAAAAAAAUAUUUUUACUCUGUUAAGUUUAAAGAAUUGAUUAGGAACAAUAUUUUUUAGAGGAGUAAAUAUACUUCACUAAAUUAUAGAGGGUCGGUUAGAGAUGCCCUAAUGCCACAACAAUAUUAGGUAGGAAGACCGUUUCUUGGGACCAACUUUCAACAUAUCACCAUUAGGCAAUUUUUUUUACUUUGCUCUCAGGACACACACAACUUUUGCACGAAUGGCGACAGAUGAUUGAAUUGGCCACAGAAAAUUUAGAACCAGAGAGGAUCACUGGACCAGAUUACAUUGCAUCACACUUUUUGUCCUCUGUGUUGAGUUGUAUAUUUUGUACAUUAUGUCUCAGUGUACCGAUCCUAGAUCGUAGGAUCUGAGCUUACUCCCACAUGGCCUGCGUGCCUAACUCUCCGGACUCUCUCUCCCUCUCUAUGUAAACUCUGAUCGUAACAGAAACACUCAAGGAAAUCAUAAUACAGUUUCCAACUUGGUAUCAGUCGCUAGGGUUUCCCCAUGGCUGCGGACGAUCUCUCCUCCUCCUCCGCCGCCACGAGCUCCGCCACGUCGCCGGGCUCCCUCUCCUCCCAAUGCUCCGGCGCACUAUCUUGAGCUCGACGCCCACAUCGUCCUGUGGAUCUAUGCCACCCUCUCGGACACCAUGUGCGACCAUGUGGUCGGCGCCACCACCACCUACGCCCUAUGGCACAAGAUCAAAGACUUCUUUCUCGCCAAUCGCGAUGCUCGCUUCAUGAUCCUCAAUCGCCAAUACCGAAACCUCAAACCGGGUGAUCUCUCUGUGUCCGAGUACGCACGCCUUCUGAAGCUCCUCACCGACGCUCUCGCCGACAUUGAUCGUGCCGUUACCGAGCUGGAUCUCACCACCCAAUUUCUUCAUGGCCUCGACAAGCGGCUCGACACCAUCUGCGUCGUCCUCGGUGACCAGGGCCUCCCCUUCGACACCGUGCUCUCCCGCGUUGUUCUCGCAGAGGAGUCGCAGGCGCAGCGCGCGGCUGAGGAAGGCGCCUCUGCGUUCGCCAUGGCGGGCGGCAGCUCUUCAGGCGCUGGCUCCUUGGCCGGCCCCUCUGGUGGUCGCGGCAACGGCGAUCGCCCCUCUGAUCGCACCCCGGACGCCACCCAUCCGUCGGCCCCCUCCUCUGGCCGCGGGCGCGGUGACCGCUCUGGUGACGGCGGUGACCGUGGACGCGGGCGCGGUCGAGGACGCGGUGACCACUCUGGACGCGGUGACCCUUCUCCCCCUUCACGGGGUACUUCGCCCCCUACGAGAUGGCGCUCCCGUCGCCACGCUCUGGUUGGAUCCCGCCGAACGCCGCCGGUGUUCUUGGACCCCGCCCCGGCGCCCAUGCUCAGGCGUACCACGCCUUCACGCCAUCUCCGGUGUCGUCUACUCCGUACUAUCAGCCACCGCAGCCGUCAUGGGACCAUCUCGCCAUGCUCAACGCCGCAUUCAACAACGGCGGCUAUGCCACGCCCCCGGCCCCCGAGUGGUACCUCGACAGUGGCGCGCCUUCGCACGUGACAGGCACCCAAGGUAAUCUGACCUCGUCAAGUUCUUCAUUUUCGCAUUUACCCUCUAGCAUUGUUGUUGGUAAUGGGCAUUCUCUUCCUGUCACUGCCACGGGCUCUACCACCCUCUCCCCUCAUGAUUUUCGCCUCACUGACAUUCUUGUCUCCCCCAAUGUCGUUCCUAACCUCAUAUCCGUCCGUAAAUUCAGUAAAGAUAAUGCUUGCUCUAUUGAAUUUUACUCGUGUGUUUUUCUUGUGAAGGAUCUUCGCACUCGACGAGUUCUCAUGAUCUCCGAUAGCCACGGCGAUCUCCACCCCUUUGUUGGCAAUAAACCGGCGCCGGCGUCCGCUCUCCUCGUCACCACCACCUCGGACUUGUGGCAUCGCCGUCUUGAGCAUCCCGGAGCACACACCUUUUCUUCACUCGCCAAACACUUUCUUAAUGAUUGUAAUAAGGCUCCCCACACCCCAUGUAAUGCGUGCCAACUUGGGCGCCAACCCCGUUUACCUUUUCCAUCCUCCUUUAGUAAAACAUAUGCUCCUUUUGAUUUAAUACAUUGUGACUUGUGGACAUCACCCGUUGUUAGCUUUUCUGGGUUCCAAUAUUAUCUUGUCGUGCUUGAUGAUUUUAUGCAUUACUCGUGGACAUUUCCUCUUCGCAACAAAUCUGAAACCUUCACUGUGCUUCAACGCUUUUUUACGUUUGUGCACACACAAUUCCACGUGAUCAUCAAGAGCAUGCAAUGUGACAAGGCGGUGAAUUCAUCAAUUCGUCCCUACGCACCUUCUUCUCCUCCAACGGCAUUGCCUAUCGCUUCUCGUGCCCACAUACCUCACCACAAAAUGGCAAAGCCGAACGCAUGAUUCGUACCACCAACGAUAUCAUGCGCACGCUUCUUCUUCAAGCGAACCUCACGCCACCAUUUUGGGUUGAAGCCCUUCACACCGCCACCUACCUUCUAAAUCGGCGUCCAUCUCGUACCAUUGCGCCACACACACCACAUCUUCUUCUCUACGGCGUUCCACCCACCUAUGACCACCUUCGUGUCUUCGGUUGCCUCUGUUUUCCCAACCAAUAUGCCACAAUGGCCAACAAACUAACCCCACGCUCCUCCCGCUGCAUCUUUCUGGGCUAUGCCCUCGAACACAAGGGGUACAGGUGCUUUGACCUAGCCACACGCCGUGUGAUCGUCUCUCGCCACGUUAUUUUCGACGAAACCAUUUUUCCCUACAGCCCCACACCAGACCACACACCCUCCACGUCCACAAACAAUCCCCAUGCACCAAACCAGCCACACCCCAUCCUCCCAUCGGGAUCGCCACCACCUACCACGCCUGGGCCCCGCCCUUCACCAGAUUCUGCGCCCCGCCAACCCUCCCCACCACGUCGCCCACUCCACCCCGCACCGGCCGCCCCACACCUGCCGUUGCGCCCCCCACGCGCGGAUCCACUUCGGAUCACGCGCCCGCCAGUGCGCCUGGCUCGCCCGGGCCCGCCGCAUCCUCCUCGCACUGCACGCCUUCCCCUGCGCCCGAUUUGCCAGGCCCUGCUGAUUCCCUCUUGGAUCACACGCCCACCCGUGCGCCCCCCUCGCCUGGUCCCACCGAAUCCGUCUCGUGCUCCUCGCCCAAUCCAGCGCCCGCUGAAUUGCCCGGGUCCACUGAAUCUGCCUCGGAUCCUUCCCCGCCUCGCACGCCCACACCACCUCUUCCACCCCAUGCGGUACCGGUACAGCCACCCGAGAACUCACACAAAAUGACCACACGCGCUAAAACAGGCUACUUAAUGCCAAAACGACUCUUUCUUGCCGACGCCUCCUCCACCAUCUCACCUAUUCCUCCCACGUAUAAAUCAGCCCUUAAGGAUCCCCAUUGGCGUCAAGCAAUGUUAGAUGAGUAUAAUGCAUUAAUGAACAACUUCACUUGGUCUUUGGUGCCUAAGCCUGCAAGUGCGAAUGUGGUUACGGGCAAGUGGAUCUUCAGGCACAAAUUCAACACAGAUGGGUCUCCGACACGGUACAAGGCUCGGUGGGUCGUCCGUGGCUUCUCACAACAAGAAGGUGUGGACUACGAUGAGACGUUCAGUCCAGUGGUCAAGCCAGCAACCAUUCGGGUGGUAUUGAGUCUUGCCACCAGUCAUUCAUGGCCCAUUCAUCAACUUGACGUCAAGAGUGCAUUUCUUCAUGGUGAGCUCAAUGAAACAGUGUAUUGCUCGCAACCGGCCGGUUUUGUGGACUCCUCCAAGCCGGAUCAUGUGUGCCUUCUCAACAAGUCACUAUAUGGUCUCAAACAAGCCCCUCGGACGUGGUUCUUGCGCUUUCAAGCAUUUCUUUUAUCUCUUGGGUUUCGGGCAUCCAAGAGUGACACGUCCCUGUUCAUCCUACAUCAUGGUAACUCCCUUGCCUAUCUUCUCGUUUAUGUGGAUGAUAUCAUUCUCACCGCAAGCUCACCCCACACACUCACCCACAUCAUCUCCUCUCUUAAGCGCGAGUUUGCCAUGACUGACCUUGGUGCCUUACACCAUUUCUUGGGCAUCAAUGUCACCUCCAACCAGUCCGGCCUCUUCCUAUGCCAGCAGCAGUACACUCUCGAGCUUCUUGAGCGCGCAUCUAUGCUUACAUGCAAACCCGUAUCCACACCGGUCGACAUCAGCUCCAAACUGUCUUCUAAUGAUGGUGCCUUGCUCUCUAACCCCACUCACUACCGUAGUAUCACCGAAGCUCUACAAUACCUCACCCUAACCCGCCCGGAUAUUACAUAUGCGGUCCAACAAGCCUGUCUAUUCAUGCAUGCUCCACGCGAUAUCCAUUGGCAGCUUGUGAAGCACAUCCUCCGAUACCUCCAGGGUACAUCACACUACGGCCUCCAGCUUUUUCGGUCACCCUCCACUGACCUCAUUGCUUACAUCGAUGCCGAUUGGGCCGGGUGUCCGGACACACGUAGGUCGACCUCUGGUUUUUGUGUGUUCCUUGGAGCCAACCUCAUCUCCUGGUCCUCCAAGCGCCAACCCACCAUCUCACGAUCCAGUGCCGAGGCUGAAUAUCGAGGUGUUGCAAACUGUGUGGCUGAAGCUUGUUGGUUGCGGCAACUUCUUCAUGAGCUCAGGGUACCACCCAAACGUGCACCGUGGUGUAUUGCGACAACAUCAGUGCCUCCUACCUUGCAAGCAAUCCGGUCCAGCAUCAACGAACCAAGCAUAUUGAGAUUGACUUGCAUUUUGUUCGGGAUCGUGUGGCACUUGGCGAAGUUCGAGUCUUACAUGUGCCAUCCAGUUCGCAGUAUGCCGACAUCUUCACCAAGGGACUGCCCUCGCCAGUCUUCACUGAGUUUCGAUCCAGCCUGAACAUCCUUCCCAAUGGAGUUCCGGCGGAGGGGGGGGUGUUGAGUUGUAUAUUCUGUACAUUAUGUAAUGUUGCAUUGUCUCGGUGUACCGAUCCUAGAUUGUAGGAUCUGAGCUUACUCCGGCAUGGCCUGCGUGCCUAACUCUCGGGAGUCUCUCUCCCACUCUAUGUAAACUCAGGUUGUAACAGAAACACUACAGUUUCCAACUCUCUGGAGAUUGCGCGCGAUCUCUUUAUCAUUUCUUUUUGGGGAAGCUAGCUACAGUAGCGAAGAUCACAAUCAGUACGUACGCAUUAAUUUUAGAAAUGGUUGCCGCAUAACUAAUUUGGGGAAUCUAAUGAUGUCGGUGUACACGUAUGCCAAUUCGCGGAUCCAUUCACGCCUUGGAGGGCAUCCAUCCAACCCAUGGACCUGUCAAAUCAGAUGUCCCUCGAGUGCCCUACAAUCUGCCCCAGGUAGGUACAGAGAGACGACGCAAAUCAAAAUCAUUCACCGCGCCGUUCAUCGCCAGAACAAGACAUAUAUUCGAUCCCGUAUAAUAUAAAUAUAAACAAUGGGAUUCGCCGUAUAUUUGUUACGAGUAUAAUAGCAUGAAGAACAUGGUGGGGUGGGGUGAAGCGAAGGUAGCGCAGAACGUGCAGCCACAUAUCCACGAUCCAUCCAUAUAUUGGACGGGACAGAAAUUGAGCGCACUCACCUCACCACCACCUUCUUCUCGGCCGAAACAUACGGUUUAACGUCGAGCGCUAGCUAGCUAGCUAUCGAGGCGAGGAGCAUUGACCAUGAGGAAGGUGUGCCCCAACCUAGACCGGGAGGACGGCCUCGACACCGUGCUCGAGGUGCCGGUCCCCGAGCUCCACCAGGAGGUGCCGGCCCGCCGGCGCCGACGCCGCACGGUCAAGGCGUGGAUGCGGUCGCACAUGCACAUCGAUCACCACCAUAUGCAUCAUCGUGACGGCGUGCAGGUCAUGCUCGGCGUGAUGGGCGCGCCGCUGGUGCCUCAGCCCGUGCAGCCCAGGAGGCCCAUGGGCGGACGUGACAGCAAGGAGGAACCCCUGGUAAGUCCCGUGCUUGGAUUUCAUUUUACCACCGACUGGAUCAGCAUUCAGCCAGUGGGGAUAUAUUUGUGAUUUUUACGGCUAAUGAACGGUCCUUGUGUUUUCAGGAGCUAUCCAAGGCGAGGUAUAUAGUGGAGCAGUACGUGGCGGCGGCCGGCGGCGAGGCGGCGCUGAGCGCGGCGACUAGCAUGUUCGCCAUGGGGAAGGUGCGGAUGAGCAGCACUACAUCCAAGAGCAGCAAGGCAACAAAGAAGGGAAUGGGCGAGGUGCACGGAGGAUUUGUGGUGUGGCAGAAGAAGCCGGAGCUCUGGUGCGUGGAGAUGGUCAUGGCCGGUGGCACCAAGAUGAGCGCCGGCAGCGACGGCAAGGUUGCCUGGCGCCAGACGCCGUGGCAGCAGCAGGCCCACGCCUCCCGGGGGCCCCCGCGACUGAUCCGCAGAUGCGUUCAGGGUUUGGACCCCAAAUCCACGGCGGAUCUCUUCUCCAGCGCCGCGUCUGCCGGCGAGGAAGCAGUCGACGGCGAGGACUGCUUCGUGCUCCGCGUCGACGCGGAACCCUCCGCUCUGCACGCCCGCAGCAGCGCCGACGUGGAGGUGAUCCGGCACGCGCUAUGGGGAUACUUCAGCCAGAGGACGGGGCUGCUCGUCCGUCUCGAGGACAGCCACCUGUUGCGCAUCCCCAGGCCGGCCGACGCAGGUGGCGAGGGCAAGGCCGCUUCCGCGAGCAUGUACUGGGAGACCGCCAUGGCGUCCACCAUCGGCGACUACCGCCCCCUCGACGGCAUCAACAUCGCGCACGCCGGCCGCACCAUCGUCUCGGUGUCCCCGUUCACGAGGGCCGCCGGAGCAGUAGACGACGUCGACGCCGACGCGCGCAGGAAGAGACCGUGCACGUGCAUGGAGGAGACGUGGAGCAUCGAGGAGGUGGAGUUCAACAUUGCGGGGCUGUCCACGGAGUGCUUCCUGCCUCCCAGGGACCUUCUGCUCAGCGAUUCCAAAGAGCAGCCGCGGCACAACAAGGAGCAAGGCGAUAAGGCGGCAAAGGGUGCUCGGGACAGCGUCAAGGCCGCCUAUGACAGCGACGGUGGCUGCGGGAUCCGCGCGGCUGUGCCGAAGAAGGCACUUGUUCCGGUUGUGACUGGACUGGGUUGGUUUGGUCCGGCCAAGGUUGCCGCGGUUGACAGCUUAGACGCUGCCGACGAGUCCAAAGACGCGACGUACGCAUCGACAAGAUGAGAUGGAGCCGUAAGUAGGGCGGCAUAAUAGGCACUAGCUUGACGGAGGCGCGCUUUGCCGCGCCCGUCAGCAAAUUUGAGAUGUACUACUUCGUUUCUUUCUCUCCGAUGGACAUCCAAAAGCUUCGUGUAUGCAUCAAUUACAAGUGAAACACAGGAAAACGUCUUCAUCUGUGAGCAACUUUUUUUUUCUUGCGAAUAAGCAAUGUCAUUGAUAGACAGAAGAGGACAAACAUAAAGAGAAGAAGCACCACACUAAGUGUGGGUUGGAGCAGAAGAAAGGGUGCUUAUCCCUCCAACACACGGCAAACUAAACAAACAUAAAGAGAAGGAGGCACCCCACUAAGUGUGGGUUGGAGUAGAAGAAAGGGUGCUUAUCCCUCCAACACAUGGCAAACUAAACACGCCUAGCCCAAUCUCAUAGAACGCAAAGCACAAAAUGUCGUGUCACAUCCAAAGUAGGAUACUCCGAAAGCACGACCAAAACAUGGGGCCAAAUUAGAUCAACGUCAAGGAACGGCUAGUGGACAGCAGGAACCGAAGGAGAGGAGAAACCGAGCAAUGAAGGUGACGCCACAAAGACCAACCCGAGUGGAUUGCACAAAGACCGAAGCGCUGAAAUCACCAAUGCCGACCGCGAAAGGGGAUUGGGGUUCCACCGAGACGCUUCCAAGGAAGUGUGUGACACUCAUUGAUAGAGUCAAAGCCGGCAGAUCCGAGUCAAAGCCGGCAAAUCUCGGGUAGGGGGUCCCGGGCUAAUAGUCUUGAAACAAUGGUAGCAAAGGAUUCAAUUGUAUCCAAGGAGUUUUUCUACGCUUGCCUCGCCACUAUAAGUACAUCGUCAUUUUGCUGAUCCGUAAAAAAAUUCCCGCACGAUUAUCCUUAGCCACAAAGUGGUUAUCAAACACAAAGUAUUUCUGUGCUCGGUAUGAGAUAGCAUGACCUAGCUUUGACAACACAUCAAUUCUCAAAAAUGUCUAGAAGCAUACGCGCGCCUUGCUGCGCUGCUUAAACUGCUACGGUGUAGAUUAUCACAAAGUUACCCAGUUAACAUUUAAUUAACAUUUUUGAAUAAUCUCAAUGCAGUUUAGUGUAGUUUCGGAGAAAAUUCAAUUCUGGAUAAAAAUUCACUUAUAUAUGAAGUUUAGCCGUAUUCUUUCAUCUCCUGACCAACUUAUGACCAAGAGCCUUGAACAAACUGAGUGCACAUACUUGCAUAUUUUAACUGAUUCCUGAAAAAGCAAGAGGACAUUACUCAAUCUAGGUGUAUUAUUACUGCAACAUCAUGCUUGGGCACAUGAAUGCAUGCUUUGCUAAGUAUUCUGAUUUGUGUGGUAUGGUGUUCAGGUUUUUGGGGCCAAAUUGCUACAUAUAGCAUGCAUCGCUAAAUCUUGUAGGUUAAUAGUUGGGACAAAUUUUUCCUGCUGCUAGCUUGUAUGAUUGACUAUUUUGAACCCUGAUAAAUCCAUAGGAACUCAAAAAGGGUUGUCUAUAGGAAAUAAUAGACACGACCAUCUAACAAUUACAGUUUGGCUUGAAAUAAAAUGAUUAUCAGUACAUAAUCUGAUUCCUAACCUUGUAAUAACUUAAAACAAUGCUGAUUUGGAAUGAAGAAGCUUGUGCAUUUCCCAUUGCAGAUCAAUGUACGAAAUUUGCAUGUGAUUCUACAAAGGACAAACUUGAUCUACAUGACAUUAACUUUAGAAGCACAUAAUCUAAUUCCAUUCCCACACACAUUUUCCUGGAGUACUCAUAUUGGUGAUACGGCAGGUAUGAAUUUUGUACUAUUGCAAAAUCAAAUCUGAAUGAGGUGGGCGCAAUGUUACCUGCUCGAGCUUCCUUGUCGCCGGAGCAACUAACGGCAGGAACUUCUGUUGGGGGAGGAGAAAGGAGAUAGGGGAGGAAUGAGGUGAGGGCGUACCUUGCUGCCAGGAGGUGAGCUGUUUGGGAGCUUCAGCGACGAACGCGACGUCGAGUACAUGCGGUGGCGGUGGUUGUGUCGUAGGAGCCUGACUGCAGAGCGUGUUCCCAUCUAGCGGCCAGUAAAUACAAGGGCCCAGCGGAACCGAAGGAAAUCGCCACCGCCAACGCCGCCGAGCAAAACCGAACGAAGUCCUGACCCCAAUGGCAGGUUGGCUGGCAACACAAGUGCUCCAGGCAACCGAGCCAAGAGCAGCAAAAGGCAAACAAAAAAUUAAAGGAGAAACGAAGAAGACCGAACCCGGUGAGAUGGAUAGGAAGAAGACGACACCGGAUUCGCUGCCUGUCCUGCCUCUAUUCCAGUCGUCAGAAUUGAGGUACCCAUGGGGAGGAGGGGCCGAAAAGAGCCGGAGCAGCCAGUUGAUGACCUAUGGUGGUGAGGAGGAGGCAGCGACCAACAUCCACGGCGGGUCACGGAUCUAGACGCUGGACGCCAUGUCGAGCCCGCCUCUCCUGCGUGUUCUGGCCAUGGGUAGCCGCCUUGAGGCCGAGGACCACACCACGAGGCCGCACCGGCGUGGACCGCCGUCGCCAAGAAGCAGUCACACCGCACGGAGGUGAGGUGCCCGGCGCACCGGCUAUUGGUCGCCGCCGCUGCUGCGCCGUGGUCUGCGAGGAGCGGCGCUUGGGAGUGUGUGCCAGUUUGGUGAGUGUUUGUGGGAGGUCACGAUGGUGGCCUGAGGAAGCUUUAGUCGCGUCCACCGGCGGGAUCCAUCUCGUUUUGCCUGGAGGGAUCCAUCUCGCUUUGUAACACCGACCAACGUGGUCAACGCGCCGUCUAAAGGCCUCAAUGCACCACAGUCCGGUAAUUCGUGGGAGCUUAGUAACUCUAUCGAUGUGUGUGUAGUCCGUAGUGAAAUCUCUAAAUGGGCUUAUAUUUAUAAACGAAGGGAGUAGAAUGCUCCCCAAAAUAACAAUCCAGUUUUUGGCACAUGCUCCAAACAGGAAAUGACCCAGUUCUCUAGAGAGUUAGUAAAUCCAAUACAUAACCGUACAAAGCCAAGGGGUCGAGUAACCAACAAGCAAAAGCCAAUCUAUCCAUCCAAACUGAUAACUGAACUCUCCAAACCUCCAACAUCAAAAACUCGGCCAACACCCUGACAGGAAACAAGGUCUCAAUCCAAAGAAAGCGGUCACCCCGUAUACUACUAGGCAAUCAUGUGGAACAAAUUCAUACUCACUUGUUCAUCAUGUCCUAACCUACUGUUCUAUUCAAUUGCUGUCGGUAAAAUCAGCGUCUAUGACGUCACCACCAUCGCCUGUCUUCUCAGAUGGGCCUGGGCCUGGGCCUGUAGAGUCAGCAGCGCCGUCAGCUCCAGGGGUAGGGCCUGACCCCUGCUGCUGGUAGAGGGACUGACCAAGCUGCAUCACUUCUUGGUUCAACGCAGCUAGUGCAUCCUUUAUCGUCUGUGUCGAUCCACCAGCAACGGCGACCUGGAGUUCCUUGAGCUUCCCCUCCACCUUCUCCUUGACAUCGCCUGGGACCUUGUCCCCGAGCUCCUUCAGUUGUUUCUCAGUCUGGUAGAUCACAGAUUCUGCCUGGUUCUUGGUGUCAAUUGCGUCCCUCUUCUCCUUGUCCUCCGCCGCGAAUUUUUCAGCUUCUUCCACCAUCUUCUCUACCUGAAUAGUUUUUCAUUCAUGUUACUCCAAAGGAUCAGCAAAGUUUUACAGUAUACAAAUUGAAAAGUUUUUUGUUAUAUUGAGCACCUCAUCCUUUGGCAGUGUGCUGGCUCCAGUGAUCGUAAUGUCCUGCUUCUUCCCAGUACCCUUAUCCACCGCAGCAACAGACAGAAUGCCAUUGGCAUCAAUAUCAAACUUGACUUCAAUUUGGGGAACACCACGUGGAGCAGGAGGAAUUCCAUCAAGCCUGAAGCUACCAAGGGAUUUAUUGUCCCUAACAAACUCUCUUUCUCCUUGGAGAACAUUAAUCUCCACACUAGUCUGUCCAUCAGCAGCCGUUGAAAAGACCUCUGACUUGGAGGUAGGGAGGGUUGUGUUCCUUGGGAUAAUCUUGGUCAUCACCCCACCCAGUGUCUCCAAACCAAGAGACAGUGGCGUAACAUCAAGAAGCACAAUAUCGCUCACAUCGCCCGACAAUACUCCUGCCUGUUGACAUUUUGCAUGUGAGAUACACCAGACAGUUCAAUCUAGCAUGUUACUAUUCUAGAAACAUACGAGAGAUAAUCAUCCAGUGCUGAUGCUAUAGCCAAAAGCCACAACAUAGAAACAACACUAUCUAGUAGGCCAAACAAACAGUUUACCAUAUUCUUUGGGUAAUUUCACUUUGAGAGCUGUGCCUGGGGCCAUAUGUUCGGCCCAAAUUUGCAAGACAGAUUAUUAUCUGCUUACAUUUUAAUAAAGAGGUAUAGGAUAGGAACAUCAGGAUCUGCUUACAUUUUAAUAAAGAGGUAUAGGAUAGGAACAUCAGGAUCUGCUUACAUUUUAAUAAAGAGGUAUAGGAUAGGAACAUCAGGUUCCUAACUUAGGUGACUAUGAAGAAAUGAUUUUCAUGAACU
rnacentral:lncRNA from 1 species